CGCGUAAGCGGCUUGGCAAGUCAGAUGUGAAAGCCCCGGGCUUAACCCGGGAAUUGCAUCUGAAACUGCUUUGCUUGAGUCCUGGAGGGGGUAGUGGAAUUCCCAGUGUAGCGGUGAAAUGCGUAGAUAUUGGGAGGAACACCUGCGGCGAAGGCGGCUACCUGGACAGUGACUGACGCUGAGGCGCGAAAGCUAGGGGAGCGAACGG
rnacentral:rRNA from 1 species